rnacentral:rRNA from 1 species
CAGUCGCCACGGUAAUACGAAGGGGGCUAGCGUUGUUCGGAAUUACUGGGCGUAAAGGGUGCGUAGGCGGCUUGACAAGUCUUGUGUGAAAUCUAUGGGCUCAACCCAUAGUCUGCACGGGAAACUGUCGGGCUUGAGAAUGGGAGAGGUGAGUGGAAUUUCCGGUGUGGCGGUGAAAUGCGUAGAUAUCGGAAGGAACACCUGUGGCGAAAGCGGCUCACUGGACCAUUUCUGACGCUGAUGCACGAAAGCUAGGGGAGCAAACAGGAUUAGAUACCCCCGUAGUCCCUGUCUCUUAUAC